UGUCAGGGCUGGACACCACCUUGUCAGGCUGUCUAUAGUCGCUUAGCAAGACAGAGGCUGGGCCCAAACCAGGGACCAGCUCCUGCCCGCUACAGUCGCCCCGAGCCCUUGGCCAGACGACGCAAAGGGUGAGUUUCCUGAGGACAGCCACUGAACCACCCCACUGACUGCCCAGCACAGAGCAGGCACAGCACAGCGCUCCAGAACAGCUCUGAUUGGGUGACUCCCCACCCUGGUGAAGCAAUUAAGGACAUUUCCAAGUGCUGUGUGGCUGCUUCAGGCAAGCAGCCUCAGCUGACCAGGCUCUGACGGGGAAGGCCAGCAGAGGAGGGGGCUGGU